rnacentral:rRNA from 1 species
GAUGAACGCUAGCUACAGGCUUAACACAUGCAAGUCGCGGGACCGGCGCACGGGUGAGUAACGCGUAUCCAACCUGCCCUUCACCACGUGAUAACCCGGCGCAAGUCGGACUAAUACAGGAUGGUGAAGGGUGGUGAAGCUUCCGCUUAGCUUGAAGGCGGGGUAACGGCCCACCGUGGCUACGGUCGGUAGGGGUUCUGAGAGGAAGGUCCCCCACACUGGAACUGAGACACGGUCCAGACUCCUACGGGAGGCAGGAGGGAGGAAUAUUGGUCAAUGGGCGUAAGCCUGAACCAGCCAAGUAGCGUGCAGGACGACGGCCUAUGGGUUGUAAACUGCUUUUAUGCGGGGAUAGGUACCGCAUGAAUAAGGACCGGCUAAUUCCGUGCCAGCAGCCGCGGUAAUAC